rnacentral:rRNA from 1 species
GUCCUAGCCGUAAACGUUGGGUGCUAGGUGUGGGCGGUUAUCGACCCCGUCCGUGCCGAAGCUAACGCAUUAAGCACCCCGCCUGGGGAGUACGGCCGCAAGGCUAAAACUCAAAGGAAUUGACGGGGCCCCGCACAAGCGGCGGAGCAUGUUGCUUAAUUCGAUGCGACGCGAAGAACCUUACCUGGGCUUGACAUGCAGGGUGAAACCCGUGAAAGCGGGCGCUCUUCGGAGCCUGCACAGGUGGUGCAUGGCUGUCGU